rnacentral:rRNA from 1 species
UACAGAGACUGCAAGCGUUAUUCGGAUUCACUGGGCGUAAAGGGUGCGCAGGCGGCCGUGUGUGUCAGGUGUGAAAGCCCGGAGCUUAACUCCGGAAUUGCGCCUGAAACUACAUGGCUAGAGCAUUGGAGAGGGUAGCGGAAUUCACGGUGUAGCAGUGAAAUGCGUAGAUAUCGUGAGGAACACCAGAGGCGAAGGCGGCUACCUGGACAAUUGCUGACGCUCAGGCGCGAAAGCGUGGGGAGCAAAAGGG